CCUACGGGAGGCAGCAGUAAGGAAUAUUGGACAAUGGUCGCAAGACUGAUCCAGCCAUGCCGCGUGCAGGAUGACAGCCCUAUGGGUCGUAAACUGCUUUUGUGCGAGAAAAAACCCCUCUACGUGUAGAGGGCUGAUUGUAUCGUAAGAAUAAGGAUCGGCUAACUCCGUGCCAGCAGCCGCGGUAAUACGGAGGAUCCAAGCGUUAUCCGGAUUCAUUGGGUUUAAAGGGUGCGUAGGCGGAAUGAUAAGUCAGUGGUGAAAUCCUGCAGCUUAACUGCAGAACUGCCAUUGAUACUGUCAAUCUUGAGUACAUUUGAUGUGGGCGGAAUGUGUCAUGUAGCGGUGAAAUGCUUAGAUAUGACACAGAACACCGAUUGCGAAGGCAGCUCACAAACUGUAACUGACGCUGAGCACGAAGACGUGGUAGUACAACAGAUAGUAUACCUACGUAGUCCACGCUGUAACUAAUAGUAUUACUCGUAUGUUUGUCGAGUACACUAGUAAG
rnacentral:rRNA from 1 species